UUUUUAGCAUUGCAGGAAUUGCACAGAACAUGGAUUUACCAACAGUACUGCAGGGCUAAUCCAAGGCACUGCUUAUUCAGCCCCUACAAGUUUGGUACCGCCCUGAGCCGCCCACAUCAUGUACUUAACAGCAGCUUCAGUCUUCAUUCAGAAACUGACUUAUGCAUAAGGGACAUUCUAACUGUAAUUGUUUGGAAGUAUGCAGUGUUUUCAUUUAAUGAAAAUCUUCUUAAUCAUUACCUUACCUUUUCCCUUUGGAACCAGCUCUGCACUCAGCAUAAAGCAGCAGGCAGCGUUCUAUUUGCCAGCAAAUUGAGCAGGUGAAUUUCUAGUGAAUUCAGCUUUGAAGUACAUACACUCUUCCUGUUCUGAUUACUGUAGUUACAUAAAAUGUUAAGGCUGUUUCUUUAACAGUUCAAAUCAAGAAUAGCAUUUUCGUAAUACUGACACUCCAGGUACAAUUGCAGUCAAAACUGAGGGACACAGGUAGGGAUGAGACAGCAUGCAUAGCCUUUCUGUUUCUGAGUUGAAUACAAUAGGAUAGCUGGGGGAUUCUUUAAAUCACACAUUACCAGAUAGCCUGGUAUAGUCAGAGCAGGUUACAAACACAUCAGCUGCAACUUGCAGACCAUGCUUAGAACAGUCAUGUCAGAUCCAAGCCUUAAACAGACACUGCUUUGCAAACAAGUUCGUUGUUUAAAGCAGAGUUCAGUCAUUCUUUUAUGGCUGAGUAAAGAUGGCACAUGGGCACAUUUGGAUCGGCAAAUAUAACAUUGGUGAAUAAGAGCUGGUGUGGCAGUUGCAGACUCAACCCUGAGGAGCUUCGGCUUUCCAGAGCAGCAAAGAGCCAGUUUCCCCUCUGUGAAAAGUUUCAUGGUUCCCACUGAGAUUUAAACACUUUUUCUGGGAUUCGCUCUGCUCCUUGCAUUCCUUCUGUUUCAUGCUCUAAGCAGCAUCCUGCUUUCUCACAAAUAUCUUUUUUCACCCAUUACAGUUCCUCCUCCAGAUCCCUCCAACUCUUCAUUUCUCUCUUCAUAAAUGAGGAAAAAGCCACUACCAUUGAACCACAGGACUUGAACUGAAGAUUUAGUUCUCCAGACAAAUCACUAAACUUCUCUCCACCUCAGCCCCUGACCACUAUCUUGAGAUGGGGUGCUGUAAAGGUACACAAGCCGCGAUAAGAAAACGGCCACAGGAAGAUAAAUCACAGAAAAAGAACAACAUAUAAAUGAAGCGUUGUUUGAAACAGGUUAAGCAUGCUCUGCUACAGACUUAUCAGCUUUCCUCUACCUGUUCGUAUUAAAGAUGAUGGAUUCACUGAACACCACAGCACAAAGACAGUACUGGAACUGGCCUGAGGAGGACCCUUCUGACCCUGACACCUAUACGUGGAAAGGUACCGUGGAAAGCAGAUCUUAUGGUAGUUGCCCUAUCCAAGUGAUUUAGAAAGUAAACUGUUACUGUUUUCUUUGCUCCCUGUAAGAACCUCUAUUUUUAAGAAUCAAUUAUUUUCAAAGGAGCAGGUGGCAAUUCAUUUUAUUGAGGAUAUAUUAUCAUACCCAAGUAAGAUAAAAGCAGCUGAGUUCAGUCUGCAAGCAUCCAGUAGCAUGGGCCAGAUAAUUUGGAUUACAACACUUGAGAGCACUUAGAAGAUUCUGUUAGAAAUAAUAAUUUGAUAAUAAUGCUAACUUGAUCCCAAUCUUACAUACUUCAACUUUUUUAUCCAUAUUACUUUUUAAUGGGAUAGAAUAGAAGCAAUUGAAACAGAAAGUUAAGUAACACUCCCUGCCAGGGUUUGCCCAUAUUCUGAGAGAAAACACUGACCAGCUGCCAUAAUACCAGAGGUGACAUAGAUGCAACAUUAUAAAACUCUAUUGCAACCAAGAGCAGACUGCCCUCCCACCUUCCUUCUUCCAACAUUAAGAAAUACAUUGCAAACAUGUAGGUCUUCAACAGGUGCUCACUAUUACUAUAAAAACCCUUUAAGAUAACCAAAAAUUCAAUUUUGUUAAUCUAUGAUCUACAUUAGGUAGUAAUAAUUGCAAGUUGGCACUUAGUAAUUUAACUAUGUAACUUAGUACUGAGUCUACUGCACACUCAAGUGGGGAAAAAAAUAAUGCAUGGACUCCUAGUCACUUCAGGAAAAGGAGAGUGUUUUCUGUUCUCAAGUAAUCAUUCUAUCUGUAGCAAUGAAAAAUAUACUGGUUAUUGCAUAUUGGGCCCACAUCCAACAACUGUUAGCUUAGUACCAUUCAAUUGUCUAAAUACCUUAAUUAAAAGAUUAUGAACCAGUGAAACCCUGCCAAGCACUACAAUGGCUUCAGCUGAAGGACAAGAGUAAGUAACAUAUUGCAGCAAUUCAGUUCUCUUACUACAUAGUCAGAGCACUAUCAAUAGAGCUGCCAGUUGUUAUCCACAGUGAAGUAAAACCCAGAAGUGCGAGGCAGCUCUAGUUUUUUAACCAGUGUAAAGUUUCAGGUAGCUGAAGCUUCAAGCAUCACAAGCCCUCUAAAUAUUAGGCCUAGACAGCAUCACUAAGCUUGCACUGUAUUUCAGAACAGGUACCAAUACAAGGUAUAUCACUAGGCCUGAUACUCACUGCCAUACCCAACCUCAGACACAGAUGGAUGACAUUGUGUUCAUUUCUCUGUCAUGUCUGCUAGGACUAAAGCAGCUAAUGUUGCAGCUCCACAUGUGUUGUUACAUCAACAUAACACAGCCAUAACACAGUGCCUGGGUUCACAGCACAGAAGUUGCACAGCACUGUAAGUUACUGUUUGAAAAUAAGCUUUCUUCAGCAAUUUUAGUACUGUAAUCUUUCCAUUAGAAUAGGCUAAAGCAUUCGCUGUCACAUGAAACUGCAACAGACACUGGAAUUUACAUUACAGAAAUAGGGAUUUAUCAUUUGCAAACAACAAAAUUUGAGUUUGCCUAGCUGAAAGCCUUCCUCUCAUCACAUAAAGAUGCAAAUCUGUCCACUAUAGAGAAACGUUAAGAUAAUCUGUUCAAACCAGUAUUGAUCUUCUGACUUUCAGAACAGUUGCUGGCUAGUGCUUACCAUUAGUAGGUUCUCCAUUUUCUAAUCUAGUGUAACCAGUUAGCACCAGCAAGACUGCGCCCUGACCUGUAUGCUCACAUCAAAUUACUGCACUCAAAAAGGCAAUUGAAACCUCUACCCUGAUUUGGCUUGAAAAUGCAUCUUAUCACUGAUGUUAGUACUAGUCAGCCACAGCAACCUUCCUCCCCUCCACCUUCAGUUAAGAGAAGGUUCUAUAAAAGCAAAUUCAGAAGUCUCCCCUUCUUGUUUCACUGUCCGCUACUAAAUGAUUUAAUCACUGCGACAGUAUCCAGAUACUUCUAGAGGUUGAGAAUCAUCCUGCAGAAAAUAAUGCUAACCACCCCACCCCUCCAAAUGGUAUUUACAUCUGUAAAUACAGCUGAUUAAUUAAAACUAGGUCCAGCACUAUUUCUUUCAGUUACUCAUAACUUUAAAGUUUACUCAUGAAAGUAAACACCAUAUGGACAUAAUGUUAUCUCCAGUGCUUUUCUUUCCAAAGGCUUGCUCCUCAGCAUCUGUAGGACAGGACUCAAAAACUAUUUUUGAGUAGUUUGCAUUAUUCCUUUCACAUGCUUGACUUAAAACUUACAGACCUUCAUUCCUAUUCCAUACUUGGCUGCAAGUCAGCAAGUAUAAGAGCUCCAUGGUGCUGAGAUCUAAUAAAACUUGACAGAUGUACAGUCCUACAACUAGAGAUUACAGCAGCUAAAACACUAGAAGGAGAACUGCACUUAAGUUCAAACUACGUGAUUUUAAUGUAUCUACAAGAGUCUUCCAUUGCUUUUCUUCUCCUAAUCUAGCAUUGUAUCCCAUUUAUGUAUAGGAAACCAAGAGCAAAGGUAGCAAUUAGAAAUCUAAUGAUGGCCUAUCAUUUCUUACUACAUAAUUUAAUGAAUUGUGUCAAGGUUUUAUAAUAGUCUUACCUGUGAAAGUGAAGUGUUGUUGAGCUUUAGAAAGCUCAUGCUUUAGUUGUGGACAUGUCUGUAGACAUGCAGCAUCCCAUACUAUUACAUUUUUGAGAGCAGUCUUAUUAAAUUAACAUUUACUUGAAUAUUCCUAUGUGAAAAGGUUAGCUUUUCCAGUAUAAUCCAGGGGGCUCUGCCUUUAACGAAAAAUCAGAUGAGAAUUGCAUUACUGCUAGCAGUUGAGAAGAGCCAUUUCAGCCAACUACACAUCAGUAUAUAGACAGUACUGUAGAACUUAACAUCACACACCUUAACUAUUCCAGGAGCUAGAAUUAUACCCACUCACAAGUUAGCACACCAAUGCAAAAUACAUUCUUGUGCCUUCAAGACAACAGAAAAGCAUAAAGACGUUCCAAAUAUCUUCAGAAAAAGAAACCCUAGAAUGUGUUUGACCACCUCCUUUGUUUUGAAUUGCACAUUACUAAGCAUCCCAUUUUAGAUGUCAUUUGGCACAUUCAGAACAAUGCAAGUCUUACAUCUCACCUGUGCAUAGCAGUGAAAUAGUUGAACUUCAGAGAAGUUGUAUCAAAACCAAUUUUAGUAGUUUUAGUUAUCUGCUUUGGCAGACAAGCAGUAACUCACCAGCCCAUUCCAAAAGGUUGUCCUUUCAUAGGAGUGUGGAAAGGAGUUCAGUCCUUCGCUAGAUUUAAAGUUUUAUUAUAGAAAGUUCACCACAUUAGUCGAUUAAUAUUUACAUUUAAGUAACACAAACCAAAACAAACUAAAACGCCUCAAUUUUAAAGUAGG